GUGACGGAAGAUGGGAGGCUUGUUUCUCAUGAAACCAUUGGACAGAAUGCUGUCUGCACAUUUUGCUGCAUAUCUCAGGCUCUCCAAGGGCUACAGCAGCCCUUAUUUGUUUUUGUAAAUGGAAGCGGAGAUAUGGGCCAGCUAAUGGUAGAAAAGGGCCCCUGGCCCACCGGUGCUGGGAUCUGCAUGUCAGGCUGUAGCAACAAUUUCUCUUGGGGAAAAGUGCUGCAGCAAUGGUUGCGGCCACGUUUGCACAAAAGUCUUGGGAGAUUCUGAAGUCUGACUGCCAACUACACGGAGAAGCAUUGGCUCAUUACUAUCUGGCCUCUGUAACGAGUGCGUCCUGGAACCUGCCCCCGGCCCACCGGAGUGGGGAUAUGUGUGGAACGCUGUAGCAACGAUUUCUCUUGUAGCCCUGGGGAAAAGUGCUGCAGCAAUGGUUGUGGCCACGUUUGCACAAAAGUCUUGGGAGUGCGUCCCGGAAGGUGCCCCCGGACCACUGGUCGUGGGAUAUGUGUGGAACUCUGUAGCAAUGAUUUCUCUUGUGGGCCUGGGGAAAAGUGCUGUGGCACUGGUUGUGGCCACAUUUGCAAAAAAGCCUUGAGAGGGUCUCGCUAACCUGGACUCCAGAGGGGAUGAGCCCUUCCACAGGACCUCUCACCCUGCGCAGGCGUCCACUGCCAAUUCCUUUCCUGCUUCCUUGGAUGAGCAGACUCCGCUUUGGCAUGCAAUGCAACCUUGUACUGAACACGCUCACCCAAUAAAAAUGAUAUGAGUUUCCCAGCAA